UACGGAGGGUGCGAGCGUUGUCCGGAAUCACUGGGCGUAAAGGGCGCGUAGGCGGCGCGGAAAGUCAACGGUGAAAGCUUGGGGCUCAACCCCGAGUCGGCCGUCGAUACUUCUGGGCUUGAGCACUGUAGAGGCAGGUGGAAUUCCGGGUGUAGCGGUGGAAUGCGUAGAGAUCCGGAGGAACACCGGUGGCGAAGGCGGAUCUCUGGGCCUUACCUGACGCUGAGGCGCGAAAGCUAGGGGAGCAAACAGG
rnacentral:rRNA from 1 species